AACGAACGCUGGCGGCAUGCCUAACACAUGCAAGUCGAACGAACCCUUCGGGGCUAGUGGCGCACGGGUGCGUAACGCGUGGGAAUCUGCCCUUUGCUUCGGAAUAACAGUUAGAAAUGACUGCUAAUACCGGAUGAUGUCUUCGGACCAAAGAUUUAUCGGCAAGGGAUGAGCCCGCGUAGGAUUAGGUAGUUGGUGGGGUAAAGGCAUACCAAGCCGACGAUCAUUAGCUGGUCUGAGAGGAUGAUCAGCCACACUGGGACUGAGACACGGCCCAGACUCCUACGGGAGGCAGCAGUGGGGAAUAUUGGACAAUGGGCGCAAGCCUGAUCCAGCAAUGCCGCGUGAGUGAUGAAGGCCUUCGGGUCGUAAAGCUCUUUUACCAGGGAUGAUAAUGACAGUACCUGGAGAAUAAGCUCCGGCUAACUCCGUGCCAGCAGCCGCAGUAAAAC
rnacentral:rRNA from 1 species